rnacentral:rRNA from 1 species
UCAGCAGUGCGGAAUCUUGGCCAAUGGGGGCAACCAUGAUCCAGCCAUGCCGCGUGAGUGAUGAAGGCCCUAGGGUCGUAAAGCUCUUUCGCCUGUGAAGAUAAUGACUGUAGCAGGUAAAGAAACCCCGGCUAACUCCGUGCCAGCAGCCGCGGUAAUACGGAGGGGGUGAGCGUUGUUCGGAAUUACUGGGCGUAAAGCGCGCGCAGGCGGACUGGAAAGUCGGAGGUGAAAUCCCAGGGCUCAACCCUGGAACUGCCUCCAAAACUAUCAGUCUAGAGUUCGAGAGAGGUGAGUGGAAUUCCGAGUGUAGAGGUGAAAUUCGUAGAUAUUCGGAGGAACACCAGUGGCGAAGGCGGCUCCCUGGCUCGAUACUGACRCUCAGGUGCGAAAGYGUGGGGAGCAAACAGGAUUAGAUACCCUGGUAGUCCACRCCGUAAACGAUGAAUACCAGU